rnacentral:rRNA from 1 species
UACGGAGGAUCCGAGCGUUAUCCGGAUUUAUUGGGUUUAAAGGGUGCGUAGGCGGCUUAUUAAGUCAGGGGUGAAAGACGGUAGCUUAACUAUCGCAGUGCCUUUGAUACUGAUGAGCUUGAAUGUACUUGAGGUAGGCGGAAUGUGACAAGUAGCGGUGAAAUGCAUAGAUAUGUCACAGAACACCAAUUGCGAAGGCAGCUUACUAAAGUAUGAUUGACGCUGAGGCACGAAAGCGUGGGGAUCAAACAGG